UACGUAGGGUGCGGGCGUUGUCCGGAAUUAUUGGGCGUAAAGAGCUUGUAGGCGGUUUGUCGCGUCUGCUGUGAAAAUCCGAGGCUCAACCUCGGACUUGCAGUGGGUACGGGCAGACUAGAGUGUGGUAGGGGAGACUGGAAUUCCUGGUGUAGCGGUGAAAUGCGCAGAUAUCAGGAGGAACACCGAUGGCGAAGGCAGGUCUCUGGGCCACUACUGACGCUGAGAAGCGAAAGCAUGGGGAGCGAACAGG
rnacentral:rRNA from 1 species